UAUUAAAAAUUUCAUUUAUUUGUACUAUUAAAAGUUGACGUGGUUAAUAGAAUAACCAAACAAUGACAUGUGACAUGUCAUGUGUAUCUCCUGCCAGCAUACAAGGGUCAAUUUUUAACAAUAGAAAUGAAUGAAACUUUUAACA
rfam:Gossypium hirsutum cultivar TM-1 chromosome 22, whole genome shotgun sequence